UUUUUUUUUUUUUUUUUUUUUUUUUUUCACUGCGACCUGCUCUACAUCUGGCCACCCUCAU
rnacentral:ribozyme from 1 species